UUCAGCUAGAGCUGAAGCAUCAGCUGCAACAAGAGACCAGAACCACUAAAUGAAACCUUUGCUUUGCUGAGAUAACCAGUGCUAGUCAUCUAGAGCUGAGAAAUUAGCAGUGAUUAAGAUGGGACUAGCAUUGUUGAGGUAAAAUCUUCUUGGAAAUAUUUCCUCAGAGUUAGAACAUAGAAAGUGUGUUCCAGAGAUGGCCAAGGCUGUACCUUGUGCUGGCAGCCAAAGUUGGUAGUAUAAGAGGCACCCAGGUGAUACUGGUUUUGAAGAUAUGAAGAAGUCAUAGAGUGCAGUUGAGGCUUGUCACUGAGUGACAGGUCUAUAGUCCUUGAAGAAAGCCCAGGAGAGGUUAUUGGUAAAAAUUCAGCCUACUUGCAGCCAGGGCUACAGCACACUGGGGAUGCCAGUACCAGGGAAUGACCACUAAGAGCAGCAGGACCCAUAGAGUGGAGCCUGACUGAGCUUAGAAGACAAGCUGUAUUUACUACAGAGAGCAGAGCUGGAGAAGUGACCCAAGCCUUUUGGAAGAUCUCAGAAGAUGGGUCCCGCCAUGACGUCCUUCAAGAAUGCAUUUUAAUCUGCAAGGAUUCCUAACCCUGUGAAAGAAGAAUGUGGAUUUAAGAGGAGUAGUGGAGAAAACAUGGAAGCAUGGCCCAAUAAGACAACUAAGGGAGAUCAAGGGGAUACAAACCAGAAAAGAAACAGUCAAAGUUUUGCUAUUUGCAGAUGAUGUAAUAGUAUAUAUAUUUGAUCCUAAAUUUCUACCAAAGAAUUCCUACAGAUGAUCAAUACUCUUAGCAAAGUGACUGGAUACAAAGUUAUUUCAAAAAUUUUAGUAGACCUCCUUUAUACAAACAAUAGUCAUGAUGAAAAAAUUAAGGAAAUGGCACUUUUCAUAAUAGCCACAAAUAAUAUAAAAUAUCAUGGUGCAACUCUAGCCAAGUAAGUGAAA